AGGUGCGAUCAUACCAGCACUAAUUCACCGGAUCCGGCGAGAGUAGUACUAGGAUGGGUGACCUCCUGGGAAGUCCUCGUGUUGCAUCUC
rnacentral:rRNA from 2 species